rnacentral:rRNA from 1 species
UGGGGAAUUUUCCGCAAUGGGGGCAACCCUGACGGAGCAACGCCGCGUGCGGGAGGAAGGCCUUUGGGUUGUAAACCGCUUUUCUCAGGGAAGAAGCUCUGACGGUACCUGAGGAAUCAGCCUCGGUUAACUCCGUGCCAGCAGCCGCGGUAAUACGGAGGAGGCAAGCGUUAUCCGGAAUCACUGGGCGUAAAGGGCGCGUAGGCGGCUGUUUAAGUCGAGGGUGAAAGCCCGGGGCUCAACCCCGGAACGGCCUUCGAGACUGGGCAGCUCGAGACCGGAAGAGGAGGGUGGAAUACCCAGUGUAGAGGUGAAAUUCGUAGAUAUUGGGUGGAACACCAGUGGCGAAAGCGGCUCUCUGGUCCGGAUCUGACGCUGAGGCGCGAAAGCGUGGGGAGCAAACAGGAUUAGAUACCCCGGUAGUCC